CCUCUUGUGCUGCUCCCUUGCUGUUUUCUCCAUUACGAAUAGCAGCAGAAAAUGAACAGAGCUGGGGUCCGAGAGGGAAGAUCAGAUCCGCUUCAAAUGGGAGGAGGGAGAGAGUGGAAACAUAACUUCUCAACUUUCUUCCUAGUUUCCUCUGUAAAGGCCGGUAGCUGCUUGAUGUGCAAGGCUCUGGCCCAGAUGUUCCAGCAGCCCAGGAGGAGGCAGGUUUCAGCCCUGGAACAACCAUCGGUUCAGUUGGUUCCAGCAUGACAAGUGCCGUGUUGCUCUCAUUAAGAGAUUGGGUGCAAAGGUUUGACCAGCCAGCCCACUUUCAGGAACAAAUUCGGAAACAAAAAGGAAGAGAACCGGUCCAUUCCUUUUGAAGAUAAAGGUGAGGUAGCACAAACGUCAUCUGAAAGGCUGCGCGUCUAUGUGUUGCCUGUGUUACUUUCACUGAUCAAAUAAAUUGUGAAGGCGACGUGAAGACCUAACUGGCAAGGCAUCUGGGCUCGGUCAGAAAGACUCUUCCUGUUCUCUGUUUUCUUAGAGCUAGAAGAAAAUUCAGUAAGUUGCUGAGUUGAAUGCUUCAUCCUCCUACCUUCUUCACAAGCUUCUGGAGGUGACAGCUGUUUCCUCAGGGCCUGGUAUUUUAGACAUCUCCAUGAUUUAUAUAUCUCUGCAAGCCUCGUGGGUGGAAUUGGAUGUCACAGACAAGCCGAAAAUAACUCGUAGACUCUGAUAGCUACUGGCCCAUGUGGAAAAACUCAGAGAUCAAAUUGAAUCACAUUAUAUGUGCCUGGCAAAUGCACUGGGAUGUACAAAUGGAGCAAUGAUGGGUUAAAAUGAAGUUGAAACGUUACGUGGAGAGGGCUGGCAAGGACUCUGCAAGAACAUUGUGCACAGCAAAACCACCCUGGCUUAGCCCUAAUGGCUGUUUUGCUAAGAUCUGCAGUAGCAUAUGGAGGAAAAGCUCUUCCUUAGAAAAAUAUGCAGUUCCCUGUAUGAUCAUGGUGUACAGCUGGGCAGAAUGCCUUUGGUCCCUACAGUGAGGAAUUCUGUAAGAUACAGAGCAUCUGAAGAGAUGGCAUUGCAGAGCUGUGCUUGGGUGUGCCUGAAGUGUGGCCAAGGAGUUGGAUCCUACUCCCAGGGUCCUUCUUGCUAGAAACAGUACUCAGUGGGGAAAUAACAUUGUGUGGCCUUGGAGUCUGAAGUUAUUAAUGCCUUGUCAGGUACUUUGGGGGUAAUCUGGUGGAAGAGACAGACAACCAAGUAUGCUACACCAACACACGCUUAGUCCUCCAAAAAUACAAACAGGGAGAUUCUGUUCUAUUUAUGGCAUAUAGGCAGGUACCAUGCUGAAAGCAGACUCUCAGGGCUGAGGUGCAAGGGGUAAUUCUCUGGUGAACUUCUCCAGAGCCAGCUUCUCUGCUGCACUCCAUGUGUAGAGCCUUGGGAGUUUAACCCAGCUCUUCAUUAAGGUUCCUGGUUUUCCCUAUAUGCAACCUGGCCUCCUUUGGAUACACCUCAGAACCAGUGUUCGCUAUGAGACGGUAAUAUUUUCCAAGGCUGGGCUAUUCUUCCAUGCCAGCCUCUAGAGGGUAUCAAGAAGCAAUGCAGAAAGGGCCUGGGCACACUCAGCCACACCCUAUAUCCAGCAGUAGGAUGUUCACAGUCUGCCAAUGUAAACUGCGUGAGCAGUGUGCCUCGAUUCACAGCCAGAUCUCCAGCGCAAGAGCAGUGGAUGAAGAGUGGCAGAACUUUUAACUCUUUGUGAGGAGUUAAAAACAGAGUUUACCGUGGAGAAUCAAAACUCCUGGAGGGUACUUCCAGAUCUGGGGGGAGCAUAUCUUACAGGAUUUCCUAUCAGAGUUUCUGCCAGCACAGCCUCCACACAUGACGUUUCUGCAUUUAGGGCUUAUUUUUUUCAGCAGUCGCCUUCAGGUGUUUGUUCCCAGUUAGCUGAGUGCCUCCCAAACACUGGCUUUAACCUCUCUGUUCUCUGCAGUCCCUUUUGAGCCCUAAGACCUGGUGACUAGGACCUCCUGAGGCCUAACCCAGUGCUUUCACCCAGGAACCGUUCAAUCUGCCUCUUUAAUUAAUCAGAUUAUUUAGAUAAGGCUUGUGCUCCUCUCCCUUUCUCUGAGGCCACAUGACUUCCGCUCUUUCCGUGCAUCUUCCAACCUUCCUGUCCGCCUGGUGUUGUUUGCUGUUCCCUUUCCUUCUUUUGAGUCUCUCUGUCACCAAGUGUUGCACAAAACGAUACUUUCGGAUGUACAGUGAAGUGUCAUUGUGGGCAUUAAUCCUGCUCUUAGAGGUCCCUUUAGAAACCUGAAAGCGUUCUUAAAACACCCACAACGAUUUUGGCCGAAAAGGUUUUCACUUUUAAGGUGAUGAGCAAAUAUUUUGUCCAAAGAGCCAAAAUACUUGCACUGAUAAUGGUGAUGUGCCCCAAGGGAAUUGUCAUUUGCAUAUCUUACAUUACUGGGCUUUCAGACUCACAGAUACCUUGGUUCACACUAUGUUUCCCAUGUAGCAUCGUGGUCAUAGACUCGCAGCCCCACUCUUGCAGGAGGAAAAUGUUGUAUCUUUGGAAAACUUGGGUGUAAUAUGAAGUGGCAUAGCCAGAAAUAGAACCCAAGAGCAGUGAGCUUUGCUCACUGUUACCCAGCACAUUUUGGACUUGUCUAUCCAAAAUUUAGGAUUAGGUCAGUGGGAUAAAGUGGUAUAAAAUUGCUGUUCUACCUAGUAAGAUGUUACAUCUGCCUUGCUCUCACAACGUCCUGAUGUGGGUGGCCGCAGAAAAGAGCAGCAACUCCUCUGAUCUUGAGCCCAUUGCUGUAGUGGAAAAAAUAACAGAAGUAUCAUGCAACUGUUAAAAAAAAGCUUCCUAAUUCUCCUGUCACUAGGUGCAGUCCAGGAAACUUUGUGUUUAUAAAGCGCUGUGUAAAUUUGCAGCUCUCUAUAAAUGUAUAAUCAAUAACAAUGUUUACAGUAACAGUGCUUAGUCCAGUUCUGGUAAAAACUCAAGACUGCUCACUUCUUGAUAAGAUCACUUGCUUUACACAGGCACCUCCUCUCCAUGUGAAAACAAAACAUGAGGAGCAGAACAGAAGAUACUUGUGUUCCCUGACAAGAAAAGAAACACAGAAACAAAAUAUGUUCCCUGCAGCAGGUGACAAUGGCAGCAACGACCCAAGGGACUCUCUUAAAAUCUUUCAAGCAGGCCUUAGCCCUUCCACUGAGUGCUGCAAACACACUUCCUGUUCUACGAAAUGAAAAUCUUAACAGCCAUUUCCUUGUUGAUGGCAUCAUGUCUUCAUCUCUUCUCACAAGUACAUGAGAAGGGGGAAAUCCCAGCAACCUGAUGAGCUUUUAAAUCAUUCCCGCAAAAACCAAAUGAAGAAAUUGCAGCCUGAAUGCUGGAUCUGUGGCUACUUGUAUGAUGGGUCUUACACUCUCUGAGACUGUCUGGCGACUGCAGUACCUCUCCUCUGAACUAGGCUGAAAGUCCUGUCUCCAUCCUCACCUUGUUUUGGUGGGACUUGAGGAGCAGAAGGGACCUAGAGCACAGCAGUUGCUCCCUCAAUCUGUGGCGCACAGGUAUAAAGGAAAGCAGCAGCAGCAAGACAAGGCAGAACGGAGCACAGAAGAGUAGGAUCCUUUUGUUAUGAAAAUUUGGUUGAUUAUUCCAUUAUCAGCAAUGAUCUUGGUCAUAUAUGUGCAUUUGCAGUAUCAAAUGCUGCAAAGCCAGGAGGGCCUCUUUGUGGUCAGUUUGGGGCUUGUUCAGUCUAAACAUACUUGGUUGCUCUUUCAGAAUCUUUCUGUGAUCAGAUUGCAAAUAAACCUAAAUAUAAAAUCAGAUAAAAUAGGGCUGAAAAGGAAUUUGAGCGAUCAUGUGAUUCAGCCCCUGCCCGAAGGGUGGAUGUUGAUCGGCGAUAUUUAUGUCCCAAGAGAUGUCUGCAGAACUUGCUUUUAAAAAAGCUCCAGUGGUAGAGACGUUGCCACCUCCCAGGCACCUAGUCACUAUUUUUGCCAUUAGGUAUUUUUUUCUAUGACCUGUUCUGAAGUUUCCUUACUAGGAUGUGAGUCUGUUACUGCUUGUCCCCUUCACUGUGGCAAUGGAGAGAAAUUAUUGCCUUCCUCUUUCCCACAAUUGUUUGAAUGCCUAAAGACUGCUGGCAUGAGACUCUUCUCUUUAGACAAAAGAAGCUCAGUUCUCUCAGGUUUUUUUGUAGACUUCCAGUUGUUCUCAGUGCCCUCCUCUGGACUCUGCCCCGUUAGUCCCACCUUCCUCGAGGUGUGCAAGCCCAGAGGGAUAUGAUGUUCUGGCUAACACUGUGUUUUGCACCACUACUCUGCAGGGCAGAAGGGGAGCUCUUAUAUGUCUUAAAGGUUUGUAGGAGGGUUUCUGCAUUUAUAUCGCAGCAUGGCACUUGGCUUUUUCACAGCUACAGACACUGUUAACACUUGUUCAAGUGCUGCAAGCCCUAUAGUUCCCAGGCCUCUUCCACAGAACUGCUACUCGGCCUGUCCUUCCUCGCCCUCAGUGUGUACACCCCAGUGAGGUGCACCAGAUCGUUCUGAAUUCUGGUUAUCUCCCUUCACCCCAUCAACACUUUCUUUAU